CGUCUCGCAAGCCAAGAGCAACACUUGGAUGUACUGGCUGGGACGCUCUCGGAGCUGCCAGAUGUCAAAUUGCUCCAUAUUCUGUGGCUUCGGGAUCCAGGCAAAUGUCCGUAAAGGAGAGGAUUGUAACCACCGAAACACAGCAUGAAUACAGGGCCCUGGAUUCUGUUGUGGGCAACUCAGAUGAGAUGGUGGCUACGAGAUGGAGGCUAGGAGCGUGCUGUAUAAACAAAAAGUGAUAACUGAGAAGUUCAACCUUCUUUGCUGUGUCCACUGUUAUCCCGUGCCCAGCCAACAAGCUGUCCUGUUGAGUACAGACAUAGCCGAGGGGAUCCCAGCCUGCUAG
rnacentral:lncRNA from 1 species